rnacentral:rRNA from 1 species
UACAGAGGGUGCGAGCGUUGUCCGGAAUCACUGGGCGUAAAGGGCGCGUAGGCGGCCGGGUAAGUAGGGGGGUGAAAUCUCACAGCUCAACUGUGAGGCUGCCUUCUAGACUGCCUGGCUUGAGCACGGUAGAGGCUGGUGGAAUUCCCGGUGUAGCGGUGGAAUGCGUAGAGAUCGGGAAGAACAUCGGUGGCGAAGGCGGCUUACUGGGUCUUUUCUGACGCUGAGGCACGAAAGCCAGGGGAGCGAACGGGG